GCCGACGUGGCGGAAUGGUAGACGCGAUAGACUCAAAAUCUAUUUUUGGUUGCCAAAGUGCUGGUUCAAGUCCAGUCGUCGGCA
rnacentral:tRNA from 1 species